rnacentral:rRNA from 1 species
UACGUAGGUGGCGAGCGUUGUCCGGAAUCAUUGGGCGUAAAGAGCGCGUAGGUGGCUUGCCAGGUCUGAUGUGAAAACUUGGGGCUCAACCCCAAGCCUGCAUUGGAAACCGGCUUGCUAGAGUCUGGGAGAGGAGAGUGGAAUUCCUGGUGUAGCGGUGAAAUGCGUAGAUAUCAGGAGGAACACCGGUAGCGAAGGCGGCUCUCUGGAACAGUACUGACGCUGAGGCGCGAAAGCUAGGGGAG